UACGAAGGGGGCUAGCGUUGCUCGGAAUCACUGGGCGUAAAGCGCACGUAGGCGGCUUUCUAAGUCAGGGGUGAAAUCCUGGAGCUCAACUCCAGAACUGCCUUUGAUACUGGAGAGCUUGAGUCCGGAAGAGGUGAGUGGAACUCCGAGUGUAGAGGUGAAAUUCGUAGAUAUUCGCAAGAACACCAGUGGCGAAGGCGGCUCACUGGCCCGAUACUGACGCUGAGCCACGAAAGCGUGGGGAGCAAACAGG
rnacentral:rRNA from 1 species